rnacentral:tRNA from 1 species
AUUUUAAUAGUUUAAUAAAAAUACUGAUUUUGUAAUUCUGAGUUGUAGAUAAUAAUCUAUUUAAAAUC